CCUACGGGAGGCAGCAGUAGGGAAUCUUCCACAAUGGGCGAAAGCCUGAUGGAGCAACGCCGCGUGGGUGAAGAAGGUCUUCGGAUCGUAAAACCCUGUUGUUAGAGAAGAAAGUGCGUGAGAGUAACUGUUCACGUUUCGACGGUAUCUAACCAGAAAGCCACGGCUAACUACGUGCCAGCAGCCGCGGUAAUACGUAGGUGGCAAGCGUUAUCCGGAUUUAUUGGGCGUAAAGGGAACGAAGGCGGUCUUUUAAGUCUGAUGUGAAAGCCUUCGGCUUAACCGGAGUAGUGCAUUGGAAACUGGGAGACGUGAGUGCAGAAGAGGAGAGUGGAACGCCUUGUGUAGCGGUGAAAUGCGUAGAUAUAUGGAAGAACACCAGUGGCGAAAGCGGCUCUCUGGUCUGUAACUGACGCUGAGGUUCGAAAGCGUGGGUAGCAAACAGGAUUAGAUACCCUUGUAGUC
rnacentral:rRNA from 1 species